GAUGAACGCUGGCGGCGUGCCUAAUACAUGCAAGUCGAGCGAGCAGACGAGGAGCUUGCUCCUCUGACGUUAGCGGCGGACGGGUGAGUAACACGUGGAUAACCUACCUAUAAGACUGGGAUAACUUCGGGAAACCGGAGCUAAUACCGGAUAAUAUAUUGAACCGCAUGGUUCAAUAGUGAAAGACGGUUUUGCUGUCACUUAUAGAUGGAUCCGCGCCGCAUUAGCUAGUUGGUAAGGUAACGGCUUACCAAGGCAACGAUGCGUAGCCGACCUGAGAGGGGGAUCGGCCAAACGGGAACUGAGACACGGUCCAGACUCCUACGGGAGGCAGCAGUAGGGAAUCUUCCGCAAUGGGCGAAAGCCUGACGGAGCAACGCCGCGUGAGUGAUGAAGGUCUUCGGAUCGUAAAACGCUGUUAUUAGGGAAGAACAAAUGUGUAAGUAACUAUGCACGUCUUGACGGUACCUAAUCAGAAAGCCACGGCUAACUACGU
rnacentral:rRNA from 1 species